UACCAUUCGGUGUUGGCGUGUGAAACUGUGACGGCGUAGGAUUGUUGAUAAGGAAGGACCGUAUAAAGGCAUCACAUGUUCACAUCACUAUUUACACCAAAAUUUCAAAGCAAGACAUUGAACCUGCCCAACUUGACAAGUUUUGAUGGCCAUUUGAUGUUCAAGGUGAUAAUGUAGAUGCUGAAUUUCUGUGAAUUUCAAUGUCAUGGCUUUCUACUAGUAGCGAUUGCAUGUCUCAACCCAUGCUGAAACACAACAGCAAAAGUAUUCUUGCUCAUGGACCAUAGGAUCUUUUCCGAAUCUUGGAAUUUUGGUAGUGAAACCUGUGACAGCAUACUCGUUAUGACUGUUUCUACAUCCCUGUAUGUGGUUGGAGGCAACCCAUCUGAGAGAUAGAGUUUCAGUUACAGUCACAUGACGAGUGUGAAGUGAAUGGAAUUCUCAUUUACUUUGCUGUUUGUGAAAAUCUUCAACACAUGACAUACACUAAUUGAAGUUUCAACAUUUCGAAAUUUCAUCAAGUCAACAGCUAUUACCUUCAAUCACAUGUGUGCUGUUGUAAAGGGGAGUUUGUUGUUCCACUGGUUCAUGUGUAGCAGUGAUAUAGCUGUCCAAAGUGUAUUGUUGCAGCCUGUGGUGAAAGAUAUUGUGCAACGAAUUGCGAAGGAAGGAGCUGCGGUGGUGUAAUAUCCUGUACUACUGUAUGGGGCUGUGGUGUAGUAAGUUGGACUCUCUUGCAGGUACCGCGUAACUUUGUUGGCGUCAUAUUCAGAAGAGUCCUGCUGGUAGGACGGCGUAGCAGCUGAGUAAUAUGAAUCAGUUUCCUCGGGUAAAUCGCCGGCAUUAUAGUGGGAAGAAGAUUCUUCGUAGGCCUACCGGGAGUAGAUUCCAGGUCGUAUGGGCUAUAGUAAUCGCUGGGCAAAUAGUAGCUCGCUACAGCUUGGGUGAAGGGAGCAGGUCCAUAUGCGUAGCUAGAAGUAGUGGUAUGGUAACCAUGCUCUUCGUACCGGUAGCCAUCAGUGGUAAAAGUUGGCGCUGAAUAAUAAGAACUCUUUGUGAGUGGCUCGUACACACUCAUUUCAUUGGGUGCUACUUAUCUGGUAGCACUCCCUUAAGUAGCACUAAGUAGCAUUUUUUUCGCAACCUAGAGAGUAGCGUCCUCUACGUAUUAGGUAGAGGAUCUACUUUAUAGUAGUACUUUGCUACUAUUGAACUACUUUCUGCUGCAAGUAGCAUUUCACUACUAAUAAUAAUACUGAAAUGCUACCACAAUCACAGUAGCGGUCGCUACGAUCGCACUAGCCUAUAUGGAACCUGCAUGGCCGUUCUCUUACACUAGAACACAAUCAUUCUAACGUGGAUUUGUGUUUGAAUAAUAAUGCUGUGCAUGCGUGUGCAUGCUAUAGCUUUUCAUCUAUGAAACGAGUGUGUAUGCUGAGAAACGGUCGAAGAUACACAAUAAAAUUAAAAUAUACAACGCAGAAAGCAUUCGAAGUUAGAAUUCUUGAAAAUAUACAACAAGGUAUUAUUUGCAUCAAAACUUCUAGAUAAGAAUUUUGAUUCGAUGCUGUAAAUAAUUUACAAAGACGGAUAAGGUGCAUCUAUGUAGUUUAUGGAACGAUCAAACCCAUGAUGAGAGAAAAGAAGAGUAAGAAGGCAGUGCGGGGAAUGGGGGGGGAGGUGACGUUAGAGGAAGGAGAGAGUUAGAACGAGGACGGGUUCUGGAGCUGUUAGAUCAAGAAGUAAGAAGGAUUGGGAUCCGAAGAGAGUUAGAACCUAGAGCGUUAUAGCAAUCAUAAGGAACGAUGGGUGUAGUGGUUAGCGUACAGCGCUACGGAUCCCAAGGUGUAAGGUUCGAUCCCAGCCUCAGACAACUUUUCAUUAUUGAAAAAAAGGUUAUUAAGUAGCCUAUCUACUAAUGAAUUGAUGGUUGCGACGGUUACUAUGCAAGUAGCGUUCCUCAACUUAUAAGUUGCACUGUCCAUUUCGCAUCUUAUAAGUAGCGCUAAGUAGCACUCAUUUGAAUGAGAGU
rnacentral:lncRNA from 1 species